rnacentral:misc_RNA from 1 species
GUGAGUCAUCGAAUCUUUGAACGCAUAUUGCACUCUUUGGUAUUCCGAAGAGUAUGCCUGUUUGAGGGUCAUUUGAAAAUUAAUCAUGACUAUUAGUCCCUAGACUAUUAGUCUUGGAAUAAUGAGUUUUCCAUUCAACAAUCUCUGAUUUGUGGAUGGUAACUCGAAAUCAAUGCUAACGUCUUGGCUUGUAAUAGACGCGUUUAUGUUUAAAUCUUCGCAACUAAUCAAGUCUUGGUAUGGCAUGUUCAAAUUCUUUGACGAAAGUUAAAAAGAGUAGAACAAUUACAUUUUAUAAUC